GCUCGUUUAGCUUAGUUGGUGGAGUGUAAAGUUUUUAACCUUGUGGGCGUGGGAUCAAUGCCCAUGGUGUGCA
rnacentral:tRNA from 1 species